AACUCAUGAUUGAGACAUUUCCUCAGCAACACCUAGAAACGCUCUCAUGCCUCAUAAAAAGCCUCCUCAGCACCUUGUCUGAAUGUAGAGAUUUAAAACUUGGCAU
rfam:Lupinus angustifolius cultivar Tanjil chromosome LG20, whole genome shotgun sequence.